UACGUAGGCAGCAAGCGUUGUUCGGAAUUACUGGGCGUAAAGAGUGUGUAGGCGGCCAGGUAGGUCUGCUGUGAAAACUCGAGGCUCAACCUCGAGAUGUCGGCGGAAACCAUCUGGCUAGAGUCCGGAAGAGGAGAGUGGAAUUCCUGGUGUAGCGGUGAAAUGCGCAGAUAUCAGGAAGAACACCCGUGGCGAAGGCGGAUCUCUGGGCCGUUACCUGACGCUGGAGGCGACGAAAGCCUAGGGGAGCGAACAGG
rnacentral:rRNA from 1 species